CGUUUCGGGUUCGACUCUGGAAUCGCCUCGACCAGAAAGAUACUUUUGGAGGCCCAGAGGGGAGGAGCUGAUGCUUCCGUCCAGCCCGGGGAAGGAAAUCGAGGAAAACGCGGAGAACCUUGCUACCCGGGCUGUUGCCCACUCCCCUCCCCUUCUCCACAACAGUUACUCCUCCUUUCCUCCAGCAUUUGGUUUUACUCUCAGAGACUAAGGGAGGAAAUCACCUACUUAGACGCAGUUCUCCCCUUUAACUGCACUAACGAUCUUAAGAUCACUAAAGCCGAAAGCACUGAACCCCGCAAACUGAACGGAUUUUAAUCAUCAAAGAAAAUGCAUAUGAAGAGAGAUUACUUACCAACAGGUCAAGAGGAAGUGGUUUUAUUAAAUUUUUAAAUGUUCACACAGUUUUGCCUUCAAUUGAUUGGAAUCUGUUUCUGGAUAACAUCUACUCUUGCAAAGCCUGCCCGCCACCCCCCACCCCAUACAACAGGCCUCAAAGAUCUGCCAUUCUGGUGUUUUCCAGGAAGCAUCUGGCACAUCAGUUCCACAGAAGACUGCUUCAGUGUGCCUGGGUACCUACCAACUCCAUCAGCUCUUCCUCAUCCUUUCUGAAAAGCUCUUGGAAGGCAGUUUCUUUUGUUAUUGUCCCUCUCAAAAUGUGACCCCAACAAUAAAUUCAAGGUUUCAUCCCAAAUAACA